UACGUAGGGGGCAAGCGUUGUCCGGAUUUAUUGGGCGUAAAGAGCGUGUAGGCGGUCAGGUAGGUCCGUUGUGAAAACUCGAGGCUCAACCUCGAGACGCCGAUGGAAACCAUCUGACUAGAGUCCGGAAGAGGAGAGUGGAAUUCCUGGUGUAGCGGUGAAAUGCGUAGAGAUCAGGAAGAACAUCGGUGGCGAAGGCGCUCUGCUGGACCAUAACUGACACUCAGGGACGAAAGCUAGGGGAGCGAAUGGG
rnacentral:rRNA from 1 species